rnacentral:tRNA from 1 species
GCUGUUCAUGGUGGGCGGCAUUCUGGUGGUUUAUGGAAUCAUCGGCGUGAUCUUGCCGGUGCUGCCCGGGUUCCCGUUCCUGCUGAUCGGCA